rnacentral:rRNA from 1 species
CCUACGGGAUGCAGCAGUGAGGAAUCUUGGUCAAUGGACGCAAGUCUGAACCAGCCAUGCCGCGUGCAGGAAGACGGCUCUAUGAGUUGUAAACUGCUUUUGUACGAGGGUAAACGCAGAUACGCGUAUCUGUCUGAAAGUAUCGUACGAAUACGGAUCGGCUAACUCCGUGCCAGCCGCCGCGGGACUACGGAGGCUUCAAGCGUUAUCCGGAUUUAUUGGGUUUAAGGGGUGCGUAGGCGGUCGGAUAAGUUAGAGGUGAAAUCCCGAGGCUCAACUUCGGAAUUGCCUCUGAUACUGUGCGGCUAGAGAGGAGUUGCGGUAGGCGGAAUGUAUGGUGUAGCGGUGAAAUGCUUAGAGAUCAUACAGAACACCGAUUGCGAAGGCAGCUUACCAAGCUACUUCGGACGUUGAGGCACGAAAGCGUGGGGAGCAAACAGGAUUAGAUACCCGAGUAGUC